GCCGACUUAGCUCAGUGGUAGAGCGCGUGACUUUUAAUCCUGUGGCCGUGGGUUCAUUACCCACAGUCGGCG